rnacentral:rRNA from 1 species
GACGAACGCUGGCGGCGUGCUUAACACAUGCAAGUCGAACGGAAAGGCCCUGCUUUUGUGGGGUGCUCGAGUGGCGAACGGGUGAGGAACACGUGAGUAACCUGCCCUUGACUUUGGGAUAACUUCAGGAAACUGGGGCUAAUACCGGAUAGGAGCUCCUGCUGCAUGGUGGGGGUUGGAAAGUUUCGGCGGUUGGGGAUGGACUCGCGGCUUAUCAGCUUGUUGGUGGGGUAGUGGCUUACCAAGGCUUUGACGGGUAGCCGGCCUGAGAGGGUGACCGGCCACAUUGGGACUGAGAUACGGCCCAGACUCCUACGGGAGGCAGCAGUGGGGAAUAUUGCACAAUGGGCGGAAGCCUGAUGCAGCAACGCCGCGUGCGGGAUGACGGCCUUCGGGUUGUAAACAGCUUUCGCCUGUGACGAAGCGUGAGUGACGGUAAUGGGUAAAGAAGCACCGGCUAACUACGUG